CCCUCAUGGAUGCCCAUUGGGUUUGCUACCACUGAGCCGCAACAGGAACUGUUAACUAACUGCCUCUCUGUUGGUCGGUUGUCCCUUAAGAACAAGGGGCGUCGUUUUGUUCAGGUGUCCUUUUGUGUCUUACAGGAGAUUUUAAGGUUUUCCUCACAGGCAUUUUGUGUGUAACUGAAGCUUGUCCCCAAGUGUCUGACUUGCCCUGUUGCUGCUGUUAACGCGCCACCCCUGGUGCUGCCGUCAUCGCCUCCGAACCGCCCGUCUGUGCCGAGGACGGCGGCUGGUGGUGGUGCCGGUUUUGUGUUCUGCCGCCUUGCUGAACUCUUUCCUCAUCUGGCUGCUGAAGGAGCUGGAGAUAGCGGGCAUUCCCUGUGGCCCUGAUCCCUGCAGAGAUGCCGCACGUGGAGUAGGGUUUGCACAUGGGCUGUCCUGUUGAGGAAGUGUCUGUCAUUCCAUGUAG